CGAACCACAACGGGUGGAGCCUGCGGUUUAAUUGGACUCAACGCCGGGCAGCUCACCGGAUAAGACAGCUGGAUGAUAGCCGGGCUGAAGACUCUGCUUGACUAGCUGAGAGGAGGUGCAUGGCCGUCGUCAGUUCGUACUGUGAAGCAUCCUGUUAAGUCAGGCAACGAGCGAGACCCACGCCAACAGUUGCCAGCAUGUCCUCCGGGAUGAUGGGGACACUGUUGGGACCGCCUCUGCUAAAGAGGAGGAAGGAAUGGGCAACGGUAGGUCAGCAUGCCCCGAAUUAUCCGGGCUACACGCGGGCUACAAUGGUCAGGACAAUGGGUAUCGACACCGAGAGGUGGAGGCAAUCUCCUAAACCUGUCCUUAGUUCGGAUUGUGGGCUGCAACUCGCCCACAUGAAGCUGGAAUCCGUAGUAAUCGCGUUCCAAAAUAGCGCGGUGAAUAUGUCCCUGCUCCUU
rnacentral:rRNA from 1 species